rnacentral:rRNA from 1 species
CCCGUACACAAAAAUGCACAUAUUGUGAGCUCGAUGAGUAGGGCGGGACACGUGGUAUCCUGUCUGAAUAUGGGGGGACCAUCCUCCAAGGCUAAAUACUCCUGACUGACCGAUAGUGAACCAGUACCGUGAGGGAAAGGCGAAAAGAACCCCGGCGAGGGGAGUGAAAAAGAACCUGAAACCGUGUACGUACAAGCAGUGGGAGCCUCUUUAUGGGGUGACUGCGUACCUUUUGUAUAAUGGGUCAGCGACUUAUAUUCUGUAGCAAGGUUAACCGAAUAGGGGAGCCGAAGGGAAACCGAGUCUUAACUGGGCGUUAAGUUGCAGGGUAUAGACCCGAAACCCGGUGAUCUAGCCAUGGGCAGGUUGAAGGUUGGGUAACACUAACUGGAGGACCGAACCGACUAAUGUUGAAAAAUUAGCGGAUGACUUGUGGCUGGGGGUGAAAGGCCAAUCAAACCGGGAGAUAGCUGGUUCUCCCCGAAAGCUAUUUAGGUAGCGCCUCGUGAAUUCAUCUCCGGGGGUAGAGCACUGUUUCGGCAAGGGGGUCAUCCCGACUUACCAACCCGAUGCAAACUGCGAAUACCGGAGAAUGUUAUCACGGGAGACACACGGCGGGUGCUAACGUCCGUCGUGAAGAGGGAAACAACCCAGACCGCCAGCUAAGGUCCCAAAGUCAUGGUUAAGUGGGAAACGAUGUGGGAAGGCCCAGACAGCCAGGAUGUUGGCUUAGAAGCAGCCAUCAUUUAAAGAAAGCGUAAUAGCUCACUGGUCGAGUCGGCCUGCGCGGAAGAUGUAACGGGGCUAAACCAUGCACCGAAGCUGCGGCAGCGACACUAUGUGUUGUUGGGUAGGGGAGCGUUCUGUAAGCCUGUGAAGGUGGCCUGUGAGGGUUGCUGGAGGUAUCAGAAGUGCGAAUGCUGACAUAAGUAACGAUAAAGCGGGUGAAAAGCCCGCUCGCCGGAAGACCAAGGGUUCCUGUCCAACGUUAAUCGGGGCAGGGUGAGUCGACCCCUAAGGCGAGGCCGAAAGGCGUAGUCGAUGGGAAACAGGUUAAUAUUCCUGUACUUGGUGUUACUGCGAAGGGGGGACGGAGAAGGCUAUGUUGGCCGGGCGACGGUUGUCCCGGUUUAAGCGUGUAGGCUGGUUUUCCAGGCAAAUCCGGAAAACCAAGGCUGAGGCGUGAUGACGAGGCACUACGGUGCUGAAGCGACAAAUGCCCUGCUUCCAGGAAAAGCCUCUAAGCAUCAGGUAACAUCAAAUCGUACCCCAAACCGACACAGGUGGUCAGGUAGAGAAUACCAAGGCGCUUGAGAGAACUCGGGUGAAGGAACUAGGCAAAAUGGUGCCGUAACUUCGGGAGAAGGCACGCUGAUAUGUAGGUGAAGCGACUUGCUCGUGGAGCUGAAAUCAGUCGAAGAUACCAGCUGGCUGCAACUGUUUAUUAAAAACACAGCACUGUGCAAACACGAAAGUGGACGUAUACGGUGUGACGCCUGCCCGGUGCCGGAAGGUUAAUUGAUGGGGUUAGCGGUAACGCGAAGCUCUUGAUCGAAGCCCCGGUAAACGGCGGCCGUAACUAUAACGGUCCUAAGGUAGCGAAAUUCCUUGUCGGGUAAGUUCCGACCUGCACGAAUGGCGUAAUGAUGGCCAGGCUGUCUCCACCCGAGACUCAGUGAAAUUGAACUCGCUGUGAAGAUGCAGUGUACCCGCGGCAAGACGGAAAGACCCCGUGAACCUUUACUAUAGCUUGACACUGAACAUUGAGCCUUGAUGUGUAGGAUAGGUGGGAGGCUUUGAAGUGUGGACGCCAGUCUGCAUGGAGCCGACCUUGAAAUACCACCCUUUAAUGUUUGAUGUUCUAACGUUGGCCCGUAAUCCGGGUUGCGGACAGUGUCUGGUGGGUAGUUUGACUGGGGCGGUCUCCUCCUAAAGAGUAACGGAGGAGCACGAAGGUUGGCUAAUCCUGGUCGGACAUCAGGAGGUUAGUGCAAUGGCAUAAGCCAGCUUGACUGCGAGCGUGACGGCGCGAGCAGGUGCGAAAGCAGGUCAUAGUGAUCCGGUGGUUCUGAAUGGAAGGGCCAUCGCUCAACGGAUAAAAGGUACUCCGGGGAUAACAGGCUGAUACCGCCCAAGAGUUCAUAUCGACGGCGGUGUUUGGCACCUCGAUGUCGGCUCAUCACAUCCUGGGGCUGAAGUAGGUCCCAAGGGUAUGGCUGUUCGCCAUUUAAAGUGGUACGCGAGCUGGGUUUAGAACGUCGUGAGACAGUUCGGUCCCUAUCUGCCGUGGGCGCUGGAGAACUGAGGGGGGCUGCUCCUAGUACGAGAGGACCGGAGUGGACGCAUCACUGGUGUUCGGGUUGUCAUGCCAAUGGCACUGCCCGGUAGCUAAAUGCGGAAGAGAUAAGUGCUGAAAGCAUCUAAGCACGAAACUUGC